AUUGAACGCUGGCGGCAGGCCUAACACAUGCAAGUCGAGCGGAUGAAGGGAGCUUGCUCCUGGAUUCAGCGGCGGACGGGUGAGUAAUGCCUAGGAAUCUGCCUGGUAGUGGGGGAUAACGUCCGGAAACGGGCGCUAAUACCGCAUACGUCCUGAGGGAGCAAGUGGGGGAUCUUCGGACCUCACGCUAUCAGAUGAGCCUAGGUCGGAUUAGCUAGUUGGUGGGGUAAAGGCCUACCAAGGCGACGAUCCGUAACUGGUCUGACAGGAUGAUCAGUCGCACUGGAAGUGAGACAGGGUCCAGAGUCCUACGGGAGGCAGCAGUGGGGAAUAUUGGACAAUGGGGGAAAGCCUGAUCCAGCCAUGCCGCGUGUGUGAAGAAGGUCUUCGGAUUGUAAAGCACUUUAAGUUGGGAGGAAGGGCAGUAAGUUAAUACCUUGCUGUUUUGACGUUACCAACAGAAGAAGCACCGACUAACUUCGUG
rnacentral:rRNA from 1 species